UCAUUCUCCCGCAGUUUUCUGUCUCAAAGGGAGGUGGACGGCUGUUUUCUCCUCGGUCAGGAGAGUUAAAGAACACCAGAGGAUUUUCUCAAGCCAAAUGUAAAUGGAUGUAGGCAGAGUAAAAGCUGAUGAGAUGCCUUAGAGAGGGAUGACAUCUUCCAAGAGCUCUUAACUUUGCUUUUGCAACCAUCAGUGGAGGAAAGCAACGAUGAUCACUGGAUUUGAUCCAUGCCAGGUCAUAACCCUUUUUAUUGAUCUCAAGUUAGCAUAGACCCAACCAAAUAUUACAAUCAUACAUUUAUAUUUACUAAAUACACAAUUCAUCUCCACAUGUGUCAAAAAUAGACUUCCACACACAAAUAAGGUGAUAAGUAAAAAAAAGUCAUGUGACAGAUGAGCAAGUCUAAUAAAAUGUUCAUUUUACAGAAACAUUUGGUACACAGUCAGACAGUUUUACAGAUAUCUCAGUUUCACUUUAUUUGACAUGUGCAUUUAUGUGUACUUAAGAAAGUACUGAGUAAUAAUAACAACAUGAGUUAAGAUUAGGUUCAGGGUUAGUAGUUAUUACCAAGUUAUUGUAAUUAUUAUAAUAAUAAGGAACAGGACUGUAAAAUAAAGUGCUACCAAUAUUUUUUAUACAGAGACAUCCAGAUCUUAUGUACGACUGGAAUAUUUGCAGUAUAAAUUUGUUCCUGACACUGAUUUAGCCAUUAGGUUGUAUAUUAAUUGUUCAAUUCUAGUAAUGUUUGAAACAUCACAUCAGUAGUUUUUCUUUCUCCUGCAGUUGUGGUUAUUCAUCUCUCUGUUCAACAUUAUGCUGCAUUAAAUCGUAGCAGACAUGUGGAAUCAAACACAAAUACAUUCCAAGUUGCAAAUUCUUAGGCCUAAAUCUUAGCAUGUUGCACCAGUGCAUUUCAGUUUCUAAACAUGUAACUUUCAAAGCUCUUGUAGUAGUACACUGUGACAAAUACACAUUGUGACACGUUACACUAAAUCUGUUGAAAGGUAUCUUUCAAACAUGAUGUCUAG